rnacentral:rRNA from 1 species
UACGUAGGGUGCAAGCGUUGUCCGGAAUUAUUGGGCGUAAAGAGCUUGUAGGCGGUUUGUCGCGUCUGCUGUGAAAUUUCGGGGCUCAACCCCGAACUUGCAGUGGGUACGGGCAGACUAGAGUGUGGUAGGGGAGACUGGAAUUCCUGGUGUAGCGGUGAAAUGCGCAGAUAUCAGGAGGAACACCGAUGGCGAAGGCAGGUCUCUGGGCCAUAACUGACGCUGAGGAGCGAAAGUGUGGGGAGCAAACAGG